rnacentral:rRNA from 1 species
GACGAGGGGGGCUAGUGUUAUUCGGCAUAAUUGGGCGUAAAGGGCAUGUAGGCUGCAGUCUAAGUUUUAAGUUAAACCCAGUGUUUAACAUUGGUAAACAGCUUUCAAUACUGGAUUGCUAUGAGUUAUACUAAGGAUUGUAGAAUUUUGGAGCUGAGAAGCGAUAAAUGGUGAUCUCAAAAAGAAUACCGAGGGCGAAGGCAACAAUCUGGGUAUAUACUGACGUUGAUAAUGCGAAGGUAUGGGGAGCAAACAGG